GGAAAUCUAUCCAGGGAGGUUUUGUUCAACGUUAGAGAGAGAGAGAGAGAGAGAGAGAGAGAGAGCGCAACGGUGGAGAAGAAAGAAAGGAGGAAUUAGGUUAGGUCAAAUUGAAGCUUAACUAGGUGACGAGUCGGUGAAUCAAGGAGCACCGAAACCAUAAGUUGUACUUUCUUUUGGAGUACAAGUUUUGCAGGCAUUGUAGAUAUCCAUUGCCGAUCGUCUUGUGGUUGUACCCUCGCUUAGGGUAGCGUGUUAAGAAGACUUGGCGAGUUUUGGCGAGACACUGUAGAUAGGAAUCUAGUUGCAGCUCGUGUUGAUAUUAGUUUGUUGUAUAGUUUUAAUGUUUUCUUUAGACUUCCGUUGUGUUUGUAAGAACGUUAAGUUUUGCGUUAUCAAUAAAAUGGCUGUUGGUUAAUUUAA